UCAAAACUAUCGAUACGGUCCUCGUUUGGCCCUCUGUCUAUUUCAAGUAACUUCAGUAGAGCACAAUAUCAGUAUUGUUUCGAUCAACGAUUGAAACGAUGUCCCUUAAUCUAAGGUUAACUUAUGUGCACAAUUUUACGCCUUCAGGCAACGGAAUUGAUUUUCUCGCCGAAAUAGAGUCGACUAUGUUUUCAGUUAAAAAGAGAAGAAUUGCUGACGGUAAAGCCAUCAACUCACGAUGAGAGAAGACUAGAGAAAACAAAAAUGACAAAGUGGAGACUGUCUUUGAUGCUGUCAGAAGGAUGAGAUCGUUAGAAUUAAAACCUUGCAUUCGAGCAUCUGGUUGUAUUUAGGAACAAGUGUGGAAAAUGGUAAAAAGGGGAAAUUACAAAAUUGAAUUCAUGAAAAGAAAGCAAGGUUAAUUAGCACAUAAAAAUAACUUUUAAGCACUGUAAAGAACGUGACACAAACGGUGGUGUCACAGCAAGUAUCAGUUAAUUAAAUUGUGCUUCAAUUCUACGAGAUCCUGCUCCCUCACCAGCAAGAAGUGAUUGGAAUUGUAACGGAUUACUCUUCCGGGAUGCUGGUUUGAUGUAGGGUUAAAUCCUCAAUUUCUUGGCACACAUCACUUCUAUUUCCCACAAGUAUCAAUUGUCUCUAGUGCAGCUUUUGCAUACCUAAACAAGGAGGUGUCUUGUUCUGAGAAACACGGAAUAAAAGAGAAGCACGUACCGGAGAAUUAACACAGCCAAAUUUCAAGUUCCUUUCACCAAACAUCUUUCAACCACCACGCCAAAGCAUGGUAUCGGUAUUUAGUAUCGGGCAGGUUUCUUAUAUCAGAAUAAAAUCCAAUGAUGAAGAAAUAUGAAAAUAUAAAAUGACUGACUUUAUUAUGAUGUGAUACACACGUGGUACGUUUUACAGUUUCGUUUUGUAUGAUUAAGGGUUAUUUGUCAAAAACCCUUUAUCUCUCAGCCCGCUGACUGAAGAAAGCUAAGAAUUUUGUACAAGAUCAGUUUAUUUUCUUUACUUGCAUAUCCGAUAGAGAGAGUCACAACCAACUACCGGCACAAGUUUAUACGCUUAUAUAUUGGGCUCUCAAGGCCAUUACAUUUAAGUGCAAGGGAACCGGAAAACGACAGAAACAUGUAAACGCUAUAGAAAUAUUUGUAUGUUUUACUGUAUCAGUGCAUCAACUGAGAAAAGCACAUGUAUUACAUCGAUAAUGUAGUCAGUAUUCGCCCUGUAAGGAAAUAGUCUGGCGAAACUCCUUGAUAGAUACAUUUAACCACUUUCAUUUUGCAGAACAGUAUUUAUAUCAAGAUGGAUCUCUCAA